rnacentral:rRNA from 1 species
AACGAACGCUGGCGGCAUGCCUAACACAUGCCAGUCGAACGAGACCUUCGGGUCUAGUGGCGCACGGGUGCGUAACGCGUGGGAACCUGCCUUUAGGUUCGGAAUAACUCAGAGAAAUUUGAGCUAAUACCGGAUGAUGUCUUCGGACCAAAGAUUUAUCGCCUUUAGAUGGGCCCGCGUUGGAUUAGCUAGUUGGUGGGGUAAAGGCCUACCAAGGCGACGAUCCAUAGCUGGUCUGGGAGGAUGAUCAGCCACACUGGGACUGAGACACGGCCCAGACUCCUACGGGAGGCAGCAGUGGGGAAUAUUGGACAAUGGGCGAAAGCCUGAUCCAGCAAUGCCGCGUGAGUGAUGAAGGCCUUAGGGUUGUAAAGCUCUUUUACCCGAGAUGAUAAUGACAGUAUCGGGAGAAUAAGCUCCGGCUAACUCCGUG